rnacentral:lncRNA from 1 species
GUUCGGACCCGAGGAACCGAGGACCCCAGCAGUGAGUUCAGCUGCUUCUGAGUCAGUAAAGCUUCAGCCAGAGGUGAGUAGAAUAAACCUUUACGAUUUAAAGCAAAUAAAUUAUAAAAUUUUUAAGCAUGUUCAUGCAUCAUGAAUGCCAUGUGAUGAAAUAGGUUGUUUGCAUUAGAAUCCACGAAUAUAUUGCAUUGCAUUUAUGAUGUUGAUGUGGAUUGGUUAUUGGAUGACCCUUUAGUCCUCAUAUGAUAUGAUGAUGUUACGGCAUGAUAUGGUAUGGAAGUCCAGGUUGUACCCAUUCUACGUCCCUGGCACAUUGGUAUGUUAUGAUAUGUUAUGUUAAGAGAAAGACCGGUUGUACCCAUUCUACGUCCCGGCACUUUGGAAUGUAGAGGACUAUUGGUGACAAUACCAUCCGAGAUGUGAUUUGUUGUGAUGUGUUGCAUUACAUGAUGGCAUGAGAUUUUAAAUGUUGUUUUCUAUUAUUCUGCUCACUGGGCUCUAGUAGCUCACCCCUUCUCCCUAAUUCCCCAGGAUUGCAGGUACGGGCUAGACAGAGAAGUCAAGAAGAGUAAAGUCUUAUGCUUGUAAUAGUUAGAAAGUGGACAUGAUAAAUUGUAAGAUAAUGUAAAGUUGAAUAGUCAUGUUAUGUAUAUUGAUAUUGAGG